CGUAGGUGGCAAGCGUUGUCCGGAAUUAUUGGGCGUAAAGCGCGCGCAGGCGGUUCCUUAAGUCUGAUGUGAAAGCCCCCGGCUCAACCGGGGAAGGUCAUUGGAAACUGGGGAACUUGAGUGCAGAAGAGAAGAGCGGAAUUCCACGUGUAGCGGUGAAAUGCGUAGAGAUGUGGAGGAACACCAGUGGCGAAGGCGGCUCUUUGGUCUGUAACUGACGCUGAGGCGCGAAAGCGUGGGGAGCAAACAGGAUUAGAUACCCUGGUAGUCCACGCCGUAAACGAUGAGUGCCAAGUGUUAGAGGGUUUCCGCCCUUUAGUGCUGCAGCUAACGCAUUAAGCACUCCGCCUGGGGAGUACGGCCGCAAGGCUG
rnacentral:rRNA from 1 species